UGAAGGUCUUCUACAGUAUAGACUGUCACAUGUCCUCAUGCAGGCUCAGAGGAGCAAUCUGUCACCCUGUAUAAAAGGAAAAAAAGAAAAGGUGUAAGUGUGUCAGUGGAGAUAAAAUGAGGGGGGAAUUUGUUCCCGCUUUAAAUCUCCUCCCAGUAUCCAGGUCAGUUGUUUGUGCUCCACAUAAAAAGCAUUCACUUAUCUGCAGCGAGUUCUGAUUAAACUGGUGACAACAAGCUCAUCAGCGGGAGUAAGUGAUGUCAUUUCACUGUCAAAAAAAGUCAAAUUAUAAGUAGUAGAUUUAAUUUAACCUUAAAACUUUUCCAACCGAUAAUUAAGACAAUGACAGAUUAAAAGUGUACAAGUUUGCAGCAGAGAUAGACGCUUUCAAAGGGGACAUUUGCAAAGGAUUAGUGGGGGAAAAACAGCUUUGAAGGAGAUUUUUGUGUGUUGCAUCAAGGUGAAUUUUUUUUUAUUGUUUACCAUCAACAGUCAACUAUAAGACUCCUGAUCCUCCGCCUGUGUGCAAAUACAUGAUAAAUAUCACAUUUGCAAAAGGGUUUAUUUGAACUGAGAGCAAGUUUUUACAUGCAUUCAAUUUGGUUUGUCAUUAAAUCUUGUACAAUGAUAUAUAUUUACAACUGAACACUAUUUUUAUGUAUAACAAUGUAUAAAGACACUCGCUGUGUUUGAGUUCUAGCCUGUGGUGAAGCAACUGCGGCGUCUGUCAUGACCCACUUUCUCCACAUGUGAACACCUGCACGACAACACCAGCUCAUCCCCGUGCACUGAUGCUCAGAGCAGCAUGUGAUGCACAGAAGAUGCAUAGAAAGAAGCCCACAGUGGACAAACUAAACACCUUUUGAGUUAUGGUUCUAUAACAGAAGGCGACAUGGUUUUUCCGACACACUUGGAAGGGAAGCGUGAGUGAUCCAGACAACGAAACACAAGGAGAGAAACAGAGAGGAGGGAGAGGGGAGGAUGGGAUUGGGAGGGAGAAAUUUAAAUGAGAGGGGAGUGAAGGAAAAGUACUGGGUGGAUGGGGUGGUGCAGACGCCGAACGCAUGA